rnacentral:rRNA from 1 species
CCUACGGGAUGCAGCAGUGAGGAAUAUUGGUCAAUGGACGAGAGUCUGAACCAGCCAAGUAGCGUGAAGGAUGACUGCCCUAUGGGUUGUAAACUUCUUUUAUAUGGGAAUAAAAUGUUCCACGUGUGGGAUUUUGUAUGUACCAUAUGAAUAAGGAUCGGCUAACUCCGUGCCAGCAGCCGCGGUAAUACGGAGGAUCCGAGCGUUAUCCGGAUUUAUUGGGUUUAAAGGGAGCGUAGGUGGAUUGUUAAGUCAGUUGUGAAAGUUUGCGGCUCAACCGUAGAAUUGCAGUUGAAACUGGCAGUCUUGAGUACAGUAGAGGUGGGCGGAAUUCGUGGUGUAGCGGUGAAAUGCUUAGAUAUCACGAAGAACUCCGAUUGCGAAGGCAGUUCACUGGACUGCAACUGACACUGAGGCUCGAAAGUGUGGGUAUCAAACAGGAUUAGAUACCCGUGUAGUC